GGAAUAGGGGUGGGGUACGCUUAGCCCUCUCUUAGGGUGCUGAGGUCGAUGCCUGGCAGAGCCUGCCCUCACUAGUCUUACACUAAUCAACCCAAGCUCUGACUCCAGAGUCCCCUGCAACUUCAGAGGCAGUGGGGUGGUGGGCGCCCCAGGCUCACAAGUCCACCCACAGGUGGCCCACGGCUGGUAGGAGUGGUGCGGGAUUAUUUGGGGUCGUCUAUCUGGGGUGGGGGCCUCCUGAGUCCUCCUCAGCGUCUCACCUUGACUCCUCACAGGGCCUGGCCCGCUUCCUUCCACCAAUCCCAAGCGGCUGGUCAGACAGAGCAGCUCGCUUCUCUCUAACCACCAAUGCGCAAGUCAGUGGCAUCACAUCCGGGCCCCUGAGGCUUUCUUGGGUUGAAAGCGGAAGCGGAAACACGAUUCAGCGUGGAUGGGGGUGGGGGGGGAGGUCGGUGGAAGGGGCGGGUUUUUGGGACUGGGUUGAAAGCGGAAGCGGAACCCAAUUCAGCGUGGAUGGGGGUGGGAGGGGUGAGGUUGGUGGAGGGGCCCCGGUUUGUGGGGUGGCAGAUGGCGGUAUGACAGAGAGCCUGGGCGGGCUUCCCUCCGCCAAUCUCAAGCUGCGAGUCAGACGCAGAAGCUCGCUUGUCUCUAACCCCCAGGGCGCAAGUCAGUGGCAUCACAUCCGGGCAGAGCCUGCGCCUGCUUCCCUCCGUGGAUCUCGAGUUGCUGGUCAGACCAAUGCGCAAGUCAGGGAUGUCACAUCCGGGCCACCUGGGUUGACAGCAGGGGCGGAACCGGAUUCGGCCAGGGUGGGAGUUGGGGUGGGGGAGGAGGCGAGAGGUCCUGGGGUUAGGGGUUGA
rnacentral:lncRNA from 1 species